rnacentral:rRNA from 1 species
UCGGGACAGAGAGAGCGGCGUACGGGUGCGGACACGUGUGCAACCUACCUUUAUCAGGGGGAUAGCCUUUCGAAAGGAAGAUUAAUACCCCAUAAUAUAUUGAUUGGCAUCAGUUAAUAUUGAAAACUCCGGUGGAUAGAGAUGGGCACGCGCAAGAUUAGAUAGUUGGUAGGGUAACGGCCUACCAAGUCAGUGAUCUUUAGGGGGCCUGAGAGGGUGAUCCCCCACACUGGUACUGAACACGAACAGACUCCUACGGGAGGCAGCAUGAGGAAUAUUGGACAAUGGGUGAAAGCCUGAUCAGCCAUCCCGGUGAGGACGAGGCCCUAUGGUUGUAAUUCU